UACGAAGGUGGCAAGCGUUGUUCGGAAUUACUGGGCGUAAAGCGCGUGUAGGCGGCUCUUCAAGUCAGACGUGAAAGCCCCAGGCUCAACCUGGGAACUGCGUUUGAUACUGUCGAGCUAGAGUGUGGAAGGGGCAAUCGGAAUUCCGUGUGUAGCGGUGAAAUGCGUAGAUAUACGGAGGAACACCAGAGGCGAAGGCGGAUUGCUGGGCCAACACUGACGCUGAGACGCGAAAGCCAGGGUAGCAAACGGG
rnacentral:rRNA from 1 species